rnacentral:rRNA from 1 species
AAUUGGCGGGGGAGCACAACAACGGGCGGAGCCUGCGGUUUAAUUGGACUCAACGCCGGACAACUCACCGGGGACGACAGCAAUAUGUAGGCCAGGCUGAAGACCUUGCCUGAAUCGCUGAGAGGAGGUGCAUGGCCGUCGCCAGUUCGUACUGUGAAGCAAUCCUGUUAAGUCAGGCAACGAGCGAGACCCGUGCCCACUGUUACCAGCAUAUCCUCCGGGACGAUGGGUACUCUGUGGGGACCGAUGAUGUUAAAUCAGAGGAAGGUGCGGGCUACGGUAGGUCAGUAUGCCCCGAAUUUCCCGGGCUACACGCGGGCUACAAUGAAUGGGACAAUGGGCCCCUACCCUGAAAAGGGUUGGUAAUCUCACAAACCCAUCCGUAGUUCGGAUUGAGGGCUGUAACUCGCCCUCAUGAAGCUGGAAUCCGUAGUAAUCGCGUUUCAAUAUAGCGCGGUGAAUACGUCCCUGCUCCUCGCACACACCGCCCGUCAAACCACCCGAGUGAGGUAUGGGUAAGGGCACGAACUCUGUGUCGUGUUCGAACCUGUGCUUAAAAAGGGGGGUUAAGUCGUAACAAGGUA